AUACGUAGGUGACAAGCGUUAUCCGGAUUUACUGGGUGUAAAGGGCGUGUAGGCGGUUUAGCAAGUCAGAAGUGAAAUUCACGGGCUUAACUUGGGCGCUGCUUCUGAAACUGCUUUACUUGAGUGCUGGAGAGGAUAGUGGAAUUCCUAGGGUAGCGGUAAAAUGAGCAGAUAUUAGGAGGAACACCGGUGGCGAAGGCGGCUAUCUGGACAGUAACUGACGCUGAGGCGCGAAAGCACGGGGAGCAAACAGGAUUAGAUACCCUGGUAGUCCGUGCCGUAAACGAUGAAUACUAGGUGUAGGGGGUAUCGACUCCCUCUGUGCCGCAGUUAACACAUUAAGUAUUCCACCUGGGGAGUACGGCCGCAAGGUUGAAACUCAAAGGAAUUGACGGGG
rnacentral:rRNA from 1 species